rnacentral:lncRNA from 1 species
AGACAGAACGACCGACAGACAAAGAGCCCAAGAGGGAGGCCAGCGGGGUCCGCGGGAGAAGGAGGAGCGAGAGGGAGGGAAGCGCGGCUCCGGGCCUCCCCAUCCCUUUCCCUCCCCUCCCGAGGCUCAACUCCUGGUCUUCCCACUUGGGGAGCCCAGGGAUCGAAUGGAGGCUGGAGACCCGGUCCUCCCGCGGAAGGAACCCUUUAUUCCCCUGGCUGUCUCCCUCUGCCCAUGCGGCCAGGCUUGACGCUUCCCCACUCGUGGACCGGCCAAAACCAGCUGUGAUUGGGCCUGGCCCUACUGCUGGCCCCUUGUUCAUGCUGAUUACUGGGAAUUGGCUAUAAUUUUCCAAAAUGUUGCCAGUUCAAUGAAAACUCAGUCCGCAUUUUCCAUUGGGGAAGCACAGGCCAGGAGGAAAUGAAGUCAGUAUCCUGUGUCCCCUGUCCCCCUGCCCCACAGGGAUAGGAGGUGGCCACCUACUCCAUGAAUCUGGGCCUGGGGCACUGAGAGGUUUGGUCCUGCCCUCCCUUCUCUUCGCCUGCUGGGCCUCCCUGUUGGAGUCAAUGGGCAGGGAUUCCAAAUCCCAAGUCCAGGUCCCUGUGAGGGGGUCAGGUGUUCCUCGGCUAAUCUCCAGCCUUUCUUUUCCUUUUUUUUUUUUUUCUUUUUGGUCACACCCUCAGGCAUGUGGAAGUUCUCUAGCCAGAGGUUGAACCUGAACCGCAGCAACGACAACUUGACAACUCAGGAUCUUUAACUUGCUGAGCCACAAGAGAAGCACAAGGCAACUCCCUAUCCUGAGCCUUUCUUACUGGCAUAUUAAUAAUGCGAAUUCCUUUAUCUGUUAUCUUUUUUUUUUUUUUUAUGGCCGAAACUGCGGCAUAUGGAAGUUCCCUGGCUAGGGGUUGAAUCAGAGCUGUAGCUGCCAGCCUACACCACAACCACAGCAACGCCAGAUCUGAGCCAUAUCUGUGACCUGCGCCACAGAUUGCAGUAGCACCAGAUCCUUAACCCACUGAGCAAGGCCGAGGAUCGAACCCACAUCCUUAAGGACACUAUGUCGGGUUCUUAAUCCUCUGAGCCACAUCGGAAACUUCCUGUUAUCUUUUUUUUUUUCAGUGCCGCACCUGGCAUAUGGAAGUUCCUAGGUGAGGGGUCAAUUGGAGCUGUAGCUGCCGGCCUACACCACAGCCACAGCAACACCAGAUCCUUCACCCACCGAGUGAGGCCAGGGAUCGAACCCACAUCCUCAUGGAUCCUAGUCGGGUUUGUUACCGCUGAGCCACAGUGAGAACUCCCCCUGUUAUCUUUUUCAGCUUGCAAAAUACAUUCAACUCCCGGUUAUCCUCAGGGGCUUCCAGGAUGCUCUGAGAAUCCAACAACUCCCUGACUUUAGAUGCCUCCUCACUCCAGCCUGCUGGGAGCUGGGGCCUGACAAACACAGGGGUGUUUUAGUGGGAGGAAGGACAUGGUAGCUACAAGCCUUGGGUGGUAGACCCAGCACAUGGAGUCCUCAAGAUUAGGGAUAUCAUUUGAGAUAUGACUGGCUGGGUUGCUCAGGGCAAGGGUACCCAAGUCUCAUAGGAAGGCUAUAGCCCUAAUGGCACCCUUCUCAACAUGCUGGUGAAAAGAUUGUCCCUUCCCGGAGUUCCCUUUGUGGCUCAGCAGUAAUGAAGGGGACUAGUAUCCAUGCGGAUGCAAAUUUGAUCCCUGGCCUCCCUCAAUGGGUUAAGGAUCCUGCAUUGCCUGUAGCUACAGCAUAUGCUGCAGAUGCGGCUUGGAUCUGGCUUUGCCGUGGCUGUGGAGUAGGCUGGCAGCUGAAGCUCUGAUUCGACCCCUAGCCUGGGAACCUCCAUAUGCCGCAGGUGCGGCCCUAAAAAGAAAAAAGAGAGAGACUGUCCUUUCUCCCAAACACCUUGUAUACACAAGGCAUUAACAUCACCACGGUGAACUUCUUCAUGACUCACUCACGUGUUCCUCCACUCAGUCCUUUAUUCUACAGACAUCUAUUCAGCGUCCCCAGUGUGCCCCUCUGUGUUCAGGACUGGGGACUGAGUCCCUCCCCACCAGGAGCUCCUGCUCUGCAGAGAAAGAGAUUGAAAAUUCUAAGGAGCAGGAGAGAAUGCUUCCCUUUGUUCCUAAUCCAAGAAGGAUUAAUUAGUUCAAGCAAAGGAUAGUUAGCAAAAGGUAGGAAGCACAUGUGCAUUGUCAAAAAUUAUACAAAAUAGAGAAAAGCACAAAUAUAUUUUAAAUCAGUAAUCGUUCAUCAUGCCACUUCUGAGCUGUGUGGAUUUUAGCUAGUUAGCCUCUGGGAGACUCAAUUUUCUGGCCUAUAAAAUGGGAGUAAUUGCCUCACAGGGGUGUUGUGCAAAGACAUGUGAUAAUUUAUGUAAGUAAAGUGCCAGGUGCAGGACCUGAUGCUUAAUAGGUCCUUAAUAUUUUGCCUGUAAAUAACUGUCAUCCAAAGACUGUCAAUGGAUGUUAACAUUUUGGUGCAUUUCCUUCCAGUCUUGUUAUUUUUUUAUCUUUAUUUUUUAAUUACUCAAUGAAUUUUAUUACAUUUAUAGUUGUACAACAAUCAUCACAACCAAGUUUUAUAGCAUUUCCACCCCAAAACCUCAGUGCAUCCCCCACUCCCCAACCUGUCUCAUUUGGAACCAUAAGUUUUUCAAAGUCCUUCCAGUCUUUUUAAAAAUACAUAGUUUUCCCAUCAUACAGUUUGUGAUUCAACUCAAUAUACUUUUUUUUUUUUUUUUUUUNUUUUUUUUUUGCUUUUUAGGGUCACACCCACGGCAUAUGGAGGUUUCCAGGCUAGGGGUUGAAUCGGAGCUGAAGCUGCAGGGCCAGCCUACAUCACAGCCACACGGGAUCUGAGCCUCGUCUGUGACCUACACCACAGCUCAUGGCAACACCAGAUCCUUAACCCACUGAGCAAAGCCAGGGCUCGAACCUGCAUCCUCAUGGAUGCUAUAAUCAGAUUCAUUAACUGCUGAGCCACAGCGGGAACUCCCUCAAUAUACCAUUUUUUUGGCUUGCUUUUUUUGUUGUUUUUACUUAAAAUUAUAAGAAAAAAUAAAAAUAAAAUUAUAAUACGCAUUUCCUCACAUUAUUAAAAAUGGUCCUUGUAAACAUCAUUUUAGUGGCCAUGUAAUAGCCAUUGCGUUGAUUCCUGUUGCUUUUUAAAAGCUCCCAGGUUAUGUGUCCGUUGUUUCUCAAUAAAGCUGGGAAAUAGGAAAUAAAUAAAAUAAAUAAAAGCU